AUUCAGCAGUCUGCGUGUGUGUAUAUUCAGCAGUUUGCACUGGUCUAGGGAGUGUGUGUCCUCUGAUCAUGCUCCUAUAAAAUGUAAAUGAAAAGACAUUCAUUUAAGUACCAGUAAAGGGGUGAGCUGUAACAGCCUGGAAUAGGUUAAAGACUUCUAUUGUGUAUGUGUUUCUCUGUUUUUUUUAAAGCGAUUUUUGUGUCGCUAAAGGGUGCUCGUUUUUGUUUUUUUCAAAAUCUGGUCGCCCUGUCCUUAGUGGACAACUGGUUUAUGGGAUUAAUCGUCCCCACACACUAGAAUAAAAUAAUCCCGAUUGGAGCAAUUUAUCCUGGUAAGGGAGGGGGCUAGCUGCAAGGUAAUAGCAAUUGACAGUAUUCUUUUAUUAAUUAAAUUUGCUAGCAUAAUAUUGGAAUAAACAGGUGCCAUCUCAAAUUCUG